rnacentral:rRNA from 1 species
UACGUAGGGGGCAAGCGUUGUCCGGAAUCAUUGGGCGUAAAGCGCGUGUAGGCGGCUUGGUAAGUCCGCUCUGAAAGCCCGGGGCUCAACCCCGGGAGGCGGGUGGAUACUGUCAAGCUCGAGUCCGGAAGAGGCGAGUGGAAUUCCCGGUGUAGCGGUGAAAUGCGCAGAUAUCAGGAGGAACACCGGUGGCGAAGGCGACUUACUGGACACAUAUUGACGCUGAGGAGCGAAAGCGUGGGGAGCGAACAGG